AGGCGCGUAGCUCAGCUGGUUAGAGCACUACCUUGACAUGGUAGGGGUCGUUGGUUCGAGUCCAAUCGCGCCUACCA
rnacentral:tRNA from 23 species